rnacentral:rRNA from 1 species
CGGACGGGUGAGUAACGCGUGGGUAACCUGCCUCAUACAGGGGGAUAACAGUUAGAAAUGGCUGCUAAUACCGCAUAAGACCACAGUACUGCAUGGUACAGUGGUAAAGACUCCGGUGGUAUGAGAUGGACCCGCGUCUGAUUAGGUAGUUGGUGAGGUAACGGCCCACCAAGCCGACGAUCAGUAGCCGACCUGAGAGGGUGACCGGCCACAUUGGGACUGAGACACGGCCCAG